GAGAAAGACAUAGAGGCUAUGAGGUUGGCUUGAAACCAGUUUUAGGGGGUUCGAAUCCUUCCUUUCUUA
rnacentral:tRNA from 1 species